rnacentral:rRNA from 1 species
AGUCGGCCGCAAGGUUGAAACUCAAAGGAAUUGACGGGGGACCCGCACAAGCGGUGGAUGAUGUGGUUUAAUUCGAUGCAACGCGAAAAACCUUACCCACCUUUGACAUGUACGGAAGUUGCCAGAGAUGGCUUCGGUGCUCGAAAGAGAACCGUAACACAGGUGCUGCAUGGCUGUCGUCAGCUCGUGUCGUGAGAUGUUGGGUUAAGUCCCGCAACGAGCGCAACCCUUGUCAUUAGUUGCUACGAAAGGGCACUCUAAUGAGACUGCCGGUGAUAAACCGGAGGAAGGUGGGGAUGACGUCAAGUCCUCAUGGCCCUUAUAGGUGGGGCUACACACGUCAUACAAUGGCUGGUACAGAGGGUUGCCAACCCGCGAGGGGGAGCUAAUCCCAUAAAACCAGUCGUAGUCCGGAUCGCAGUCUGCAACUCGACUGCGUGAAGUCGGAAUCGCUAGUAAUCGCGGAUCAGAAUGUCGCGGUGAAUACGUUCCCGGAUCUUGUACACACCGCCCGUCACACCAUGGGAGCGGGUUCUGCCAGAAGUAGUUAGCCUAACCGCAAGGAGGGCGAUUACCACGGCAGGGUUCGUGACUGGGGUG